AUUGAAUGCUGGCGGCAUGCUUUACACAUGCAAGUCGAACGGGAUCUUCGGAUCUAGUGGCGGACGGGUGAGUAACGCGUGGGAACGUGCCCUUUGCUUCGGAAUAGCCCCGGGAAACUGGGAGUAAUACCGGAUGUGCCCUUUGGGGGAAAGAUUUAUCGCCCUUAGACGGGCCCGCGUCGGAUUAGCUAGUUGGUGGGGUAACGGCCUACCAAGGCGACGAUCCGUAGCUGAUCUUAGAGGAUGAUCAGCCACACUGGGACUGAGACACGGCCCAGACUCCUACGGGAGGCAGCAGUGGGGAAUCUUGGACAAUGGGCGCAAGCCUGAUCCAGCCAUGCCGCGUGCAGGAUGAAGGCCUUCGGUGUAACUGCUUUGUUACGGAACGAAACGGUACUGCCCUAAUACGGCAGGCUAAUGACGGUACCGUAAGAAUAAGCACCGGCGUAACUACGUG
rnacentral:rRNA from 1 species